CCACGCAUGGUGGUGUCUAUGGUGACCCCGGAGUCAGCUACCAACUCAGAGCCUUCAUAAAAGCGCACUCUGCGGACAACACAGCCCAAGCCGGUCUUCAGGAACCUCAAACCCAAGUCAAGGCUGGUUUCCUGGUCAGGAGACUGCCACUGGUCUACAUAAGCUGUCGUUGCUGUCGAUCUGCACGUCUGAGGAAUGAGCAAGAGUGAGGGAGGCAGCCACUCAGCCCUCCUGUACACAGCUGGCCCCAUGAAGGGAACAGAUUAGCCAGUUAAACUGGGAUCAGAAGAAGAUCAGAGAGGCAGACCAGCCACCUGAGGAGCUGCAACGAGUGGAUUCUAUACACGUGCUCCUGAUGCCCUGGACAUACCCACUGCCAGGCCAGGAUCGCUGUUCAUAGUCUGCACAAUCUCCAUGCCCUGCAGAGAGAGUUGAAGGCCAUCUUAGAGGGUGGAGAAAGCUCAAGGAAGCCCAGAGCCUUCAGCAGCAUUGAGUACUUGGAUGUGCUGGCUCCUAGGAAGCCCUCCAGUGUUUUCCAUUCCUCUUCACAAUCCCUGGCCAGCAGACCCAAGAAGGAUCAGAUGUGCAUGCCUCAGGAAGAAUGGCAGAGAGGAGGGGGCGGCCCCUGCCUGAGAGGUACUCAGUGAUGCCAAGAUUUAGGGACACCCAUGCCUGCCUCUCCGCCCAUGUGUACAUCUUGGAAGACUGUGCGAAUGUUGAGGAAGACACCGCCAGCCUGGAAGCUGCAGCGAGCCACACGGACAUGAGGGAAGAGUGGGGAGGGCAGAAGAAGGCUAGAGUGAACCACCGUCACCAGGACUUGCCAGCUCUGCCUUGGAAGACAAAAGGGGAAGGGGCUGAUGGCGCCAGUGAGGCCCUGGGAGGCAGAGAGCAUUUAUUCUCAGGACAAGGGAGACGGUUUGAUUGAAAAGCAUGUUAGGAAAAAACAAGGUGUUUUUUUUUUAACUGUUCCUUUGGCUUCUUAAAAAUGGAAUGACAAAGAACAGUUGUACAGAGAAAUGUCAAUGGCCUUGCACUGAGAAUUCUUGAUGAGGUAGGCUCCGUGGAGAAGUCUGGCAAAUGAGCUGUCAGCCCUGCUACAGCAGCCCUUCUACCGGCCGUGACUUUUUUUUAACAGCUUUACUGAGAUGAAAUUACAUUUCAGGAAAGACACCCAUGUCACCUGUAGGGUUCAAUGAUUUUGGUCAUUAACAACCUCUUACUGCCAGCUCCAAGGGACGCUCUUCAGUGGUCCUCCUCGAUCUACUGGCCUUACCGGAUUGCUCCAUUUGGUCGGUUCUCUCCUUUUCUUGGCUCUUGCUCUUUUUCCUCGGCCCAUUUUUGAGGUUCU